CUUUUGUUUUUGUUAUUGAAAUAAUUAAUAAUGUGAAAUGCACAACAUUGUAAUAGCCUGCAUGUAGGCUUUCAAAUUAUUGGUACCGGGUAGCUGAUUAAACAAUUUUAAUUGAUGACGAUCUUAAUUUUUAUAGGAAUUGGCGGGCUUGAACAAAACAGAUAUGUCCGGAUCUGUAAGUGAACGCAAGAAUGUUAACCAGUGAGAUGAAAUGCCGGGAUGGAAAAACCCUCUUCACUCUGAGACUAUUGAUGUGACAUUUUCUGUAUAUGGAAGGGACUGAUUUAUAUGUGUGGGAAAACAUGGAUUCUAAGAACAAAAAACAACAGAAAAAGUGAUAAAUGAUUCAAAUAUGACCUUUCAAAACUGUACAAUUAGAACUUGAAGACUCUUAUAUCAAAGCGAUAUUUAGUAGUGGACAUAGUGAUGUGGAAUGUACUUGAGAAACCUUGAACUUUCUACCUCUUCCCUCUUUUAGUUACAUUCCAUGGAAUACUUUAAUGAAAGUGAAAGUGGCAAAGAAUACAUUGUGAUACAUUUUAGGAGGAAAAAAGUAUUUGACCAAACAUGGUGAAAUUAAUUGUGUCAUAUAAUCUGGGAAAUAAAAAUUACAGAAUUUAA